rnacentral:rRNA from 1 species
CACGUAGGGGACGAGCGUUGUCCGGAAUCAUUGGGCGUAAAGCGCGCGUAGGCGGCCCGGAAAGUCGGAUGUGAAAUCCCGGGGCUCAACCCCGGGCCUGCAUCCGAUACUCCCGGGCUGGAGGCAGGUAGGGGAGAUCGGAAUUCCUGGUGUAGCGGUGAAAUGCGCAGAUAUCAGGAGGAACACCGGUGGCGAAGGCGGAUCUCUGGGCCUGUUCUGACGCUGAGGCGCGAAAGCUAGGGGAGCGAACAGG